UACGGGGGGGAGCAAGCGUUGUUCGGAUUUACUGGGCGUAAAGGGCGCGUAGGCGGCAAUUCAAGUCAUCUGUGAAAUCUCCGGGCUUAACUCGGGACGGUCAGAUGAUACUGCUUUGCUAGAGUGCGGAAGGGGCAAUCGGAAUUCUCGGUGUAGCGGUGAAAUGCGUAGAUAUCGAGAGGAACACCAGAGGUGAAGACGGGUUGCUGGGCCGACACUGACGCUGAGGCGCGAAAGCCAGGGGAGCAAACGGG
rnacentral:rRNA from 1 species